CCUUGAUGAAAGAAACCAUGAUGAACAUGUUCCUUGAUAUAUCUUUGUCUCUAAUUAUGUUUACAGCUGCAUGUCUUGGUAAAACUGUUCUCCAGAUGCCUGAGGAUCUACUGAAGAAACAAGAUGAAUCUGCUGUGAUCACUUGUACUCACAACAUACAGAGCUAUGACCGAAUACUGUGGUACAAACAAAGUCAGGACUCAUUGGGCUUAAAGUUGAUGGGAAACCUUUAUUAUAAUAAUCCAAAUGAAGAGCCUGAAUUUAAAGGCAAGAUCAAACUGGAGGGAGAAGCACAGACAAACGGCAAUUUGACUAUCAACAGCCUCAGACUGAACGACAGCGCAGUGUAUUUCUGUGCAGCAUAUUACACAGUGCUCAGAAUCACCUCUGUCUGAUACAAAAACCACUUGUAAACAGCUUAUUUCUGUGACAAGUAUAUUUACAGUUCUGUGGGUUUUGAUUCAGUGCCAAUGCUGAACACAACACCUGUCUAGUCUUGCUUAAUGUGUUGCUUGUAGCAAGUGGCCAAUUGAAUUCACAUCCCGACUCAAGAAGUGAAAGGAAGAUAAUUCUUAAUUUCAGAAGUUUGCCCCACCCUGAGAUCACCUACCAUGAAAGUGAUGUCACAUCCUGUAUUAACAACUUAAAUUUGAAUCAUCACAGAAGAUUAUAAUUUAACCAAGACAGCUUCAA